AGGGCUAUAGCUCAGCGGUAGAGCAAUGACCGAGAAUGUCUACGGUUCGAACCCGUAUAGUCC
rnacentral:tRNA from 1 species